UGACUUAACACAUUUCAGAACAGCUGCUGCUGUUUCAGAGCUAUGCUGGGAUUCUCCUGAACAAUAUCCCUCUAUGCAUUGACUCACAGAAGAAUCUGGGCACUAACAGGGACACUACUGACCUAGAUGUUUCAUUGAGCUGUUUCAGUAAAAGGAAGUAUCCUGCUGAGAAGCUUCAUCUCAUUGCUGUUGCUCUUUGCUCACCAUAGAGCUCACAGUGACCACCUGGCUGUUAUGGUUCCAUGUGCUGAUGGAAAACUGGGAUCAUACCAUGCACUUCUAACAAAGUCUAGUACUGAAUGUUGUUUCCAUAGUAUUGCAGCAAUAAGAACUGUGUGGAGAAGUCAAGUCAUGCUAGGGAAAUCCUUUCAUAGCUGAAAAGCAACUGGAGAUCAUCUAGAGGACUAAGGGAACAGAGAUCACAUUCAAGACAUCUGGGGAAAAAGACAGCGAUCAAAAUGUAUAUAAUUCCUAGCAAAUACAGGUGCUUUGGAGAAGCAAAAAGAUAAACUGGCAGUACCAGGCAUGUAGCCGGGGGGGGGGAGGGGGGGCUUGAGGGGCUUCAGUCCACCCCCUCGAAAUGCUCAGGGUUGUCCACGAGAAGGCCUUACUGGUACAUUAUUUAAACUGUUAUGUUUAUUCAUAUCAUGAUCUGAUCACCAUGCUCAAUAUAUCCCAUAUGCACGGUGCUAUUGGGAUAAUGAUACAAAAGGUUUGCUAGGGUAGAUCCUCAGCCCCCCCCCUUUGAAUCAAACUCAGCACCCCCCAAAUCAAAAUGCUGGCUACGGGCCUGGGCAGUACAUAACUUCUUUUAUGCUUUGAUAACUAUCUUGGACUACUUUGGACAUUUGAAUGUCACUGAAGACCAAUUGGAAAUGACAGUUAAUUCCAAAGAGGUCUGCUAGACUGCUGUCUAGAUACUGGCAUCAGGGCAAAUAUUGCCAGUGUUUAGCAAGGCCCAUAGAUAUAAGAUUUAUUUACUACAUGCUUUGGGGACCUGCUUACUUAAGAGUGAUGUCAGUCCAAGACCCACCCACCCCCUUCAACAAAAUCUUCCUUUGGACCAUGGCGGGAAAUUUGGACCUUGCUAACUGGGAGCCCAGAGUCCCAAUGGCUUGCCGGAGGAAGACUUGCAGCAGCAGCCAGCUCCAGAUGAUACAUUGCAAAAAACUAAAGACUGAAAUGUACAAUGCAUGUCAGCUUAUUUGAGCAGCUUACCACUGGGUGUCAUCCUUUCUGUCCUGAUUGAAUAAAUUUCCUUGGUGGCUUCUGC